UACGGAGGGGGCUAGCGUUGUUCGGAAUUACUGGGCGUAAAGCGCGCGUAGGCGGAUCUGCAAGUCGGGGGUGAAAUCCCGAGGCUCAACCUCGGAACUGCCUUCGAUACUGCGGGUCUCGAGUCCGGGGAGAGGUGAGUGGAAUUCCUAGUGGUAGAGGUGAAAUUCGUAGAUAUUAGGAAGAACACCAGUGGCGAAGGCGGUCGUC
rnacentral:rRNA from 1 species